rnacentral:lncRNA from 1 species
UCAUUUCUUACGAUAAUAAAAAAUUAAAUAUCAAAAGACAAAUGAACGAUAAAAUUGUUUACCUCAUCCAUGCACUUUAAAUUGGAUUUAAAAGAAGGAGAAAAGUGGGAAAAAAUUGCACUUUUUGUCAGACGUUAGACCCUAUUGAGAACGGGAUAUUUUUCUGUCUGAGCGGCGCUGGGAAUAGGACGGACGGAAAGCUUUUCUGAGAGGCCAACUGGAGUGCCUUCACCGGUCUGGAAGGAAUUCAGAGGGGAUCGCUCCUCUGGGCAGAACUGGAUCCGUUCUAACAACAACAUGGAGGAUUCCAACCUCGAGAUAAACACUGAUGUUCUGAAUCUGAGAAGUUAAGGGGGGGAUUCAGGAGGGAGGGGAAGUGGGAUCUGUGUUUUUGCUCUGUUCUGGUCUUGUUUUUUCCCAGAUUGGGCUGUUUUGUUGCCCUAAGGACAUUGAGCAUUUUCUCAGAAUGUCUUUGAUCUAAAGAGGUGCAUUGCUACCCCUUGUCCUCCCAAACCAACAUCUCACCCCUCCUAAAACAUUUUAUUUGGAUCAUCUUUCAUCAGCGCCUCUGGAUUACAGCCCGCCCCCCUGGGUCUGAUUAUUGCUUUUUGUUCUUUGACAGACAGCUGUUUGGACCAGUUGGAUUCUUACUGUGUAUUUGUUUCCUGAACGUAAAAAUGAGAGCAAAGGAGUAUGGGAUUUAUUUGAGCACAACUGUGCACAACUGCGGAGAGAUGGAUAUGUAACAAAAAACAAUGACAACGACAUCAAAAUAAACAAGAGAAAACAUGUUGGACAUUAUUCAAUCAUCGAUCACCACGCUGCCCCCGUCUAUCAUCAACAGGAUUCCUCCCUCUCUCCCCAUGACCAGAAUCCCUCCUCUUCUCCUUGGAGUCUCCUCCAACUCCAAGAUGAGAAAUCCAUCUCUCCAUGUCUGGCACAUCUCGUUGUUCGCCGUCGCUGCGUUUUUCAGAACGGACAAACAGACUAGCGCUCCAUGACCACCACCAACAGCUUACAGAAACGAUAGGAAUGAUUCAGCAACACUUAAAAAACAUACAAAUAAUGUAAUAUAAACUAGAUCCGCCUCCAGCAGAUGAUGUAGUUGUUUUAUGAAUUUUGAAGUUGACUCUCCUUUGUGUUUUUGGGUAGCAUGUAAAGUGAGUGUAUGGUAACAGAGAUCAUGUGGUAGUGUGAUGAGUGUGCACCAUGUGUGUUUGAGUGAGUGAGUGAAAGACUGUGUGUGUGUGUGUGUGUGUGUGUGUGUGUGUGUGUGUGUGUGUGUGUGUGUGUGUGUGUGUGUGUGUGUGUGUGUGUGUGUGUGUGUGUGUGUGUGUGUGUGUGUGUGUGUGUGUGUGUGUCUGUAUGACUGUCUAUGAUGUCUUCAAAGUACUAUCGAUAGUUGUCUGUUUUUAUGCCAGAUUUGUUUUUGGAAUUUCAUUAAUUGCUUAGUAACUACAAAAACAAUGUAAAGUGUGCCACUACUCGAGCUUUGUCAAUCCUCUUCAGCAACAGCAGUUAAAGAGGUUUGCAGUUUU